GAGCCAAAAAGUAAUAUACCUAACAUUCUGCGUACACUUUUUCUACCUAACCCAUUACUCGUCGGUUAAUCACUUUAUUCCAAUGGAUUCCGGUGCGUAGGAAUUAGGAUAGGAUUCAACUGUAAACUCAAAACUGUGUCCAUUAAAUAGGAUCAACGUAGCCUAUUACCUAAGAUUAACUUGAUUUAAUUGCUGAAAACAUAUCAUUUACUGAAUAAAUUUAUAUUUAAGUUCUCAUAAAAAACUUAAAUAGAAAUGAUAAGUAUUUUGGAAAACAAUUCAAU
rnacentral:misc_RNA from 1 species